rnacentral:lncRNA from 1 species
CUGGGCAUGCCCACAGCAGACCGGGGGCCCACCUGCGUACCGGGAGAGUGGGGUGGAGCCACCGGGAAUUCACGCCUGAUGCCCGGGGAGGAGUCUGGCCUCUUCAGCUCCUGUGUGGUGGCCUGAUAUUCAGUCUGUGAGCUGGGAGCCUGUUGGCAGGUCCCUCUUUUUAUUUUCGCUGAGAGCUUUCUUUUACUAAAUGCCACCAUCCUUACCUUUCAAGGUGUCUGCGUGCCUAAUUUUUCCUGGUUGUUAGACAAGAACCCGGAUUUUAGUUGAACUCUGGAGCAAAAAUCCUGCAUCAUUUGUAGGUGUCUGAGUAGAUUUGGAAAUGCCCAUUCAGCCCUCAGAGCUCCUCUGCUUUAAGGGUGAUGGACUUCCUGUACCACUACGUAGUGCAUGAGUGCCAGCCACUGGUAUCUAGAACUGUGAUUAGUGAGGAAACACUAGGAGGAACAAACAACCCAACUCUUUUUAUCUAAUCUGUUGACUCCAAAGGGACCUUCUGCUUAUUCCAGUUAAAACUCAAGCUGCAAUUCAAAAUGAAAUCAGUAUCUUUUUUCUCUACUUUUCAGCAAAGCAAGAUGCUACCUUAUAAUUACCACGUAACAAUCAAUCGCAAACAUAGUGGCUUAAAGCAGCUCCUCUUUUAGCCUACAUAUCUGCAAACUGGCAGUCUGGACUGAGCUCAGCUGGAUGUUUUUUCUGAGCUGAUCAUGUAUGUAGGGUCUGCUGCUGGCUGGUUUAGACUGAUGGUGGAUGAGAAACCACAUGAAGAAGAGAGGCAUGAUGGUGGCAGAGUUCUGAAAGAGUCACACAGAAGGGCGUUGAGUUCGUGGCUUGAAAAUAGCAUCCUGUCACUUCUACCACAUUCUAUUUACCAGGCCAGCCCAGAUAAAGAUGUGAAGAAACAGACUCCAUCUCUUGAUGGGAGAAGUUGAAAAUCAAUGGAAAAUGGCAUGGAUAAGGAAAGGAGUGAUGAUUGUGGCCAUAUUUGUAAUGGCCAUAUUUGAUACCCUUUUCAGUUUUCCUAGCCACACUUCUCAUUGGCCAGGAAAAUUAAAUGCAUGUCAACACUGAAGAAAACAGAUCUUGGUUAAAAGCAAUGAUGUAGCUAAUAUCCCGUUCAGGUAAAAGAUUACUUAUAUAGUGUGAGACAGGCAUGAGGCAGAGAAGUGCUUACAGUUCUUUUACAGGAAGCUUUUGUUACGUGUUGUCAGCACAUUGCUGUGAUGCUCAAGUAUAGCUCUUUAAUGUGAAAACCUGGUAUUUGGGCAUGGCUUGAAGCAGGUGGGUGUCAUUGUGACUGGCUGCUACCUCCCCAUGAGUCUUCUAAAAUAAAACCUGCAAAUUCACAUCUUCCCCAUGCUUCCAGAGAAUGCAUAUUCUUCCUUUGAAAAAAGAAAACCAGCACUGUUCAUAAUAGCCAAGAUUUGGAAGCCACCUAAGUGUCCAUCAACAGAUGAAUGGAGAAACUGUGGUACAUAUACACAACGGAGUGCUAUUCAGCCAUAAAAAAGAAUGAUACUCUGUCAUCUGCAACAACAUGAAUGGAACUGGAGAUCAUUAUGUUGUUAAAUAAGCCAGACACAGAAAGACAAACAUCACAUAUUUUCACUUAUUUUGGGGAUAUAAAAGUCAAAACAAACUCAUGGAGAUAGAGAACAGAUAGACGGUUACCAGAGGCUAGGAGGAGGAGUGGUGGGGGGCAGUUAGUGAUGGUUAAUUGGUACAAAAAAAUGGUUAGAAAUAAUAAAUAAGACCUAGUAUUAGAUAGGACAACAGGAGGACUAUAGUCAAAAAUAAUUUAUUUGUACAUUUCAAAGUAACUAAAAGAGUGUAAUUGUAUUAUUUGUAGCACAUAGGAUAAAUGCUUGAGGUGACGGAUACCCCAUUUACCCUGAUGUGAUUAUUACACAUCGUAUGCCUGUACCAAAAGAUCUCAUGUACCUCAUAAAUACAUACACCUACUAUAUACCCACACAAAUUAAAAAUUAAAAAAAUUUAAAGAAAUUACAGUUUGUUGGUUUUGAAUAUUUGACCAAAUUUUUUACUAAGCACAGAUAGAUUGAAUAUAAUUUUAUUGUCCUUUUGACAUUAUGAUAAUGAAGGUAUCUACACAGAAGUCUGAGAUGAGAAAAAAAUGAUAUAAUAUCCACCUACUACAUAGUGGGUAGUUUAUAUACUAAAGUUAUUGUUAUGAGAAAGAAUGGCUUAGGAAUAUUAUUUAAAAUUAAUUAAGGGGUGUUAAAAAUAAAAUACCAAGUGUAAAAAUGACAAAGGCAAGAAGAAACAGUAUAUAAUGUGAGUAAAUCUUAAUCUUUCCAAGAGAGGAGACAGUACAUAAUGUCUAAAAUUGUUAAACCAUGAAAUAGAAAUAUAGUUAUUUUAUUCAUAAUUAAGGAGAUAACUACUAUAGCACGAAAUCGUGCCAAAAAUGGUUGCCUCUGGGAAAUGUGAUUAUAGAUAUUAUAAUAUUUUGGACUGUAAAAAUCUGCUUUUAAGACUGAGGAAAUACAAAUAGGACAAUAUUUAUUUGAAAUUUGUAUCCUCAGGGAGUGUAAAGAAAUUAAUGUAUCCACAAAAUAAUAAUAGCUGCUAUUUGAAAACAUAGUUUUCUUGAAAGUUAAAAUAGUAAUAGUCUUCUAAAAAUUUUGUUAGUUUUGGUUUUCUCUUUAAUCUGAGUUAUGUAGAAAAGUGCUUAUUUCAAAUUAGGUAGGCUUGUUUUAUUCCUUUUUCUGUCUUUUUUCUAUCAACUAGUGUUUUAUUGUGUUCAGAAAAUGCCAUGCAUUAAAAGACUACUUUUGAGAAUUUCUAGAGAUUUUCUUUGUUACUAAAGAGAUUUUUGUAAUUGUUACAUGGGAUUUUAAAAAGAAUGUAAAUUAUCCUUUUUGUCAAGUAUAAUGAUUUCUGAAACCUAGCUGUGUCAGAAUACUGUAUAAUACUGUAAUAGUAUGUUGUUUUUGGCUAUGUGUACUUAUUUCUUAGAGUGGUAUGUUAAAGCCUCGACCUUGUGACUUUGUUUAUUUCUCUCUCUACAUCUAAACAUUUCCAAGACAUGUUAUUUGCAAUACCAAGACCAUAACUAUUAUGUAUUUAAUCAAAAUAAAAUAUUUCGGCUCUCUAUAAUUCACCUUGAACUUUAUUUUGUUAAAUAUAAAUGUUGUUGAUUAUACAACAUUUCAUUAUCAAUCCCUAGACACAUUUCUAAUCCACUAUAAUUGUUUUAAAAUAAAAGGAGAAGGGAAGGUUGUA